rnacentral:rRNA from 1 species
CCUACGGGGGGCAGCAGUGGGGAAUAUUGGACAAUGGGCGAAAGCCUGAUCCAGCCAUGCCGCGUGUGUGAAGAAGGCCUUCGGGUUGUAAAGCACUUUCAGUGGGGAAGAAAGCCUUGGGUCUAAUACCCUCGAGGAAGGACAUCACCCACAGAAGAAGCACCGGCUAACUCCGUGCCAGCAGCCGCGGUAAUACGGAGGGUGCGAGCGUUAAUCGGAAUUACUGGGCGUAAAGCGCGCGUAGGCGGUCUGAUAAGCCGGUUGUGAAAGCCCCGGGCUCAACCUGGGAACGGCAUCCGGAACUGUCAGGCUAGAGUGCAGGAGAGGAAGGUAGAAUUCCCGGUGUAGCGGUGAAAUGCGUAGAGAUCGGGAGGAAUACCAGUGGCGAAGGCGGCCUUCUGGACUGACACUGACGCUGAGGUGCGAAAGCGUGGGUAGCAAACAGGAUUAGAUACCCCUGUAGUC